UUGUAUACAUUUCAUUUUCAGGGGGACAUCACUUGCAAUUUAUUCUGCAGCUGUUGCAGUUGUUGGCUUGUAUAUAACAGAUUGGAAGGUAGUUGCAACUAAAAUCCCAUACUAUGGAAAAAAAUUUGAUGAAGAAGACAGGAGUCUUUAGGAUAGAUGUGACCCCUAGUGAUGCAUGAUCUAUUUAUAGGAAAACAAGUUCUGGUUGGAGAUGUAUGCUCUGGUUUCAUAAAUGAUGCAAAAAUAAAAAUAUUUUAUUA
rnacentral:sRNA from 1 species